rnacentral:rRNA from 1 species
CUUAGUGGCGGACGGGUGAGUAACGCGUGAGGAACCUGCCCUUCAGUGGGGAACAACAACUAGAAAUGGUUGCUAAUACCGCAUAACGUCGGAGAGCCGCAUGACUUUUCGACCAAAGGAUUUAUUCGCUGAAGGAUGGCCUCGCGUCCGAUUAGAUAGUUGGUGAGGUAACGGCCCACCAAGUCUGCGAUCGGUAGCCGAACUGAGAGGUUGAUCGGCCACAUUGGGACUGAGACACGGCCCAGACUCCUACGGGAGGCAGCAGUGGGGAAUAUUGGGCAAUGGGCGAAAAAGCCUGACCCAGCAACGCCGCGUGAAGGAUGACGGUCUUCGGAUUGUUAAACUUUCUUUAAUUGGGGAAGAACAAAAUGACCUACCCAAAGAAUAAGUCACGGUCUAACUACGUGCCAGCAGCCGC